rnacentral:rRNA from 1 species
GAUGAACGCUGGCGGCGUGCUUAACACAUGCAAGUCGAACGGAAAGGCCCAAGCUUGCUUGGGUGCUCGAGUGGCGAACGGGUGAGUAACACGUGGGUGAUCUGCCCUGCACUUUGGGAUAACCCUGGGAAACUGGGUCUAAUACCGGAUAGGACCAUCGUUUAGUGUCGGUGGUGGAAAGUUUUUCGGUGUGGGAUGAGCUCGCGGCCUAUCGGCUUGUUGGGGGGGUAAUGGCCUACCAAGGCGUCGACGGGUAGCCGGCCUGUGGGGGUGUACGGCAACCUUGGGACUGAGGGACGGCACCGACGCCUACGGGAGGCAGCAGUGGGGAAGAUUGCACAAUGGGCGCAAGCCUUAUGCAGAGACGCCGCGUGGUGGAUGACGGCCUUCGGGUUGUAAACGGCUUUCGCCAAGGACGCAGCGUGUUGUGACGGUACUUGGAGAAGAAGCACCGGCUAACUACGUG